GGGAGCGUAGUCCAAUGGCAGAGACAAAGGACUUAAAAUCCUUCAAGUGUGGGUUCGAAUCCCACCGCUCCUA
rnacentral:tRNA from 1 species